GCUCUUGCAGGAGGACUUCCUGCCCUUCCUGCGGGUGGGGAAAUUCAUCCUUGCUGUGCAGCUUGAAUGAUUCUCCGUGUCCUGCUCUGAUCUCUGCUGUUGUGUGCUGUGAGGGGACCUCAGGGAAGCUCUGAAAUCGCGACAUGGAUGCAGUGACUUUUAAUGAUGUGCAUGUGAAAUUCACUGAGGAAGAAUGGAAUUUGCUGUAUCCUUCCCAGAAGAGUCUCUACAAAAAUGUGAUGUUGGAAACCUACCUGAACCUCAAAGCUAUAGGCUAUAAUUGCGAAGAGCAUCAUCUCGAAGAACAUUGUCAAAAUAAUAGAAGUCAUGAAAG